rnacentral:rRNA from 1 species
GGAAUUCGAUUCAGGCCUAACACAUGCAAGUCGAGGGGUAACAAGAUAGAUAGCAAUAUUAAUUAAGCUAGACCAAAGCACGGGUGCGUAACACGUAUGCAAUCUACCUUAUACAGGGGCAUAACUUCGAGAAAUCAAUGCUAAUUCCCCAUAACACUUUGAUGUGGCAUCACAUUACAGUUAAAGCUCAGGCGGUAUAAGAUGAGCAUGCGUCCAAUUAGCUAGUAGGCGAGGUAACGGCUCACCUAGGCUACGAUUGGUAGGGGUUCUGAGAAAAAGAUCCCCCACACUUGUUGGGAGACACGGACCAGACUCCUACGGGAGGCAGCAGUGAGGAAUAUUGCGCAAUGGACGAAAGUC